UUCCUUUAAGAUUGUCUUGAAGUUUUUGCUUUCACAAGAAAUAUCCAAGACCAAAAAUUGUGGAUUGGUUUUCCACUUGAUAUGCAAGACCAAAAUUCUCUCUAGUUUCAAUGGUAGGAAGAAGAGAAUGUCUUGCAUUCUUAUUGGAACCAUAACCCCCCUCUUAUAACAUAUGAGUUAUGAAACUCAAAAGUCAUAAGCAUGUAACCAUGGUUACAUGUAUGUAACCUUAGUUAGCCCAUCAUUAACUAAGGUUACUCGUUUGGGUAUCUACACAUUAGUGCUACACUUUAUAUGACAAUGUAUUG
rnacentral:lncRNA from 1 species